rnacentral:rRNA from 1 species
UACGGAGGGGGCUAGCGUUGUUCGGAAUUACUGGGCGUAAAGCGCACGUAGGCGGCUUUGUAAGUUAGAGGUGAAAGCCCGGGGCUCAACUCCGGAAUUGCCUUUAAGACUGCAUCGCUAGAAUUGUGGAGAGGUAAGUGGAAUUCCGAGUGUAGAGGUGAAAUUCGUAGAUAUCGGGAGGAACACCAGUGGCGAAGGCGGCGACCUGGGCCAAUACUGACGCUGAGGUGCGAAAGCGUGGGGAGCAAACAGG